rnacentral:rRNA from 1 species
AACGAACGCUGGCGGCAUGCCUAACACAUGCAAGUCGAACGAGACCAUCGGGUCUAGUGGCGCACGGGUGCGUAACGCGUGGGAAUCUGCCCUCAGGUACGGAAUAACUCAGGGAAACUUGAGCUAAUACCGUAUAAUGACUUCGGUCCAAAGAUUUAUCGCCUGGGGAUGAGCCCGCGUCGGAUUAGCUAGUUGGUGGGGUAAAGGCCCACCAAGGCGACGAUCCGUAGCUGGUCUGAGAGGAUGAUCAGCCACACUGGGACUGAGACACGGCCCAGACUCCUACGGGAGGCAGCAGUGGGGAAUAUUGGACAAUGGGCGCAAGCCUGAUCCAGCAAUGCCGCGUGAGUGAUGAAGGCCCUAGGGUUGUAAAGCCCUUUUACCCGGGAUGAUAAUGACAGUACCGGGAGAAUAAGCCCCGGCUAACUCCGUGCCAGCAGCCGCGGUAAUACGAGGGGGCUAGCGUUGUUCGGAACUACUGGGCGUAAAGCGCACGUA